UACGGAGGAUCCAAGCGUUAUCCGGAUUUAUUGGGUUUAAAGGGUGCGUAGGCGGCCUAUUAAGUCAGGGGUGAAAGACGGUAGCUUAACUAUCGCAGUGCCUUUGAUACUGAUGGGCUUGAAUGAACUAGAGGUAGGCGGAAUGUGACAAGUAGCGAUGAAAUGCAUAGAUAUGUCACAGAACACCAAUUGCGAAGGCAGCUUACUAUGGUUUUAUUGACGCUGAGGCACGAAAGCGUGGGGAGUCAAACAGGA
rnacentral:rRNA from 1 species